CCUACGGGAGGCAGCAGUGAGGAAUAUUGGUCAAUGGUCGGGAGACUGAACCAGCCAAGCCGCGUGAGGGAUGAAGGUACAGAGUAUCGUAAACCUCUUUUGUCAGGGAACAAAGGCGGGGACGCGUCCCCGGAUGAGUGUACCUGAAGAAAAAGCAUCGGCUAACUCCGUGCCAGCAGCCGCGGUAAUACGGAGGAUGCGAGCGUUAUCCGGAUUUAUUGGGUUUAAAGGGUGCGCGGGCGGUCUGUUAAGUCAGCGGUCAAAGCCCGGGGCUCAACCCCGGCCCGCCGUUGAAACUGGCAGUCGCGAGUUGGAGAGAAGUAUGCGGAAUGCGCGGUGUAGCGGUGAAAUGCAUAGAUAUCGCGCAGAACUCGGAUUGCGAAGGCAGCAUGCCGGCUCCACACUGACGCUGAGGCACGAAAGCGUGGGUAUCGAACAGGAUUAGAUACCCUUGUAGUC
rnacentral:rRNA from 1 species